AAUGACAGCAGCAUCUCCGCUCUGUCGCCCCGCGCCUGUCAGUAGUCACUAACCGACUUGAUUACAAGUCUGAAAGUCCGCUACUGACCGGGCCCACGGUGCUCGCCGCUGAGCUACGCCCCUCGGUCUGUCAGUUUGGUGACCUACUUCGAGGCAAAAGUUCCCCCUUUUACCAACGGCGCGGUAAACUUGGUGCAGAUUGGUGUUUAUCUGGAAGUCAUUUCUCAUGACCCUUUUUUUGCACUUGGGGUGCACGCCAAGAGAAGAAAUGCAUGGACGCGAGGUUUUCCUGGGGAUUAUUAGACCUCACACCGACCUCUGAAGUCUGACCACCGGAGGGAUCCCAGAGACCGCUGUCUCUUCUACCAUGGAGCACGAACUGAGAAAUGGCCUGUCUAUAUGGACCAUUGUGGCCAUUGUUUGUAACUCUGUGGUAGGCUUCCUCAUCAUCAUCCUCUUUGUCAUCCUCUACAAGGCCUGCCAGGUGCCUUCACACCAAGAGAAAGUGCCUGUUUUCACAGCAAAGCUGGAGCAGAAGAAGGAUGAACAGAAGUAUAUGCUGACUACAGCAUAAUCAAGACCCACAGAUAUGAACUCUAAUGGAGUUCAAAACUUGAACUACAUAUAUGCCAUUAUAUUUCCUCACUAUUUCCUUUUGUGUUACAUAAAUCACUGUUUACAUCGCUGCUUCUUGACUGUGCCAGUCAGUGAAGCUCAGAGUAAGCUAACUGCAUUAAGAGUUGUGGCAAGACCAACAACAACAAGCGGGCCCAAUCCUCUUAUCUCCGCUGUGUGUCGCUGGGACUGUCCAUCUGUCAGUCAGUUUGGUUUGCUCAGCGCAGACACACCAUGAUCUCCUCCUGUGCUCCAUUCCUUUUCAACCCGUCAUCUGAGGCAACAGAGUGGAUGUGGAGGACAAACAACAAAGUUAACUGGGAAGGAAGAACUGAGGUGACAAGACUUUCCCUUAUUUGUUUCCCAUCUGACGAGACGAAUGCCAAAGUUCGGCAAACUGGCCAGAAAAGAUCCAGCGAUCUACCCCACAGUGUGCUGCUUGGAUGUGAAGGUCAGCACAGUCUGACUCACACAGCGUAUGAACCACUGCACUAAUGUUCCCUGGUUUUCAAAUGUGAUUUUUCUCUUCAAGACUACUGAAGGAGUUCACCGCUAUA